rnacentral:rRNA from 1 species
AGCGAACGCUGGCGGCAGGCCUAACACAUGCAAGUCGAACGGACCCUUCGGGGUUAGUGGCGGACGGGUGAGUAACACGUGGGAACGUGCCUUUAGGUUCGGAAUAGCUCCUGGAAACGGGUGGUAAUGCCGAAUGUGCCCUUCGGGGGAAAGAUUUAUCGCCUUUAGAGCGGCCCGCGUCUGAUUAGCUAGUUGGUGAGGUAAUGGCUCACUAUGGCGACGAUCAGUAGCUGGUCUGAGAGGAUGACCAGCCACAUUGGGACUGAGACACGGCCCAAACUCCUACGGGAGGCAGCAGUGGGGAAUCUUGCGCAAUGGGCGAAAGCCUGACGCAGCCAUGCCGCGUGGAUGAUGAAGGUCUUAGGAUUGUAAAAUCCUUUCACCGGUGAAGAUAAUGACUGUAGCCGGAGAAGAAGCCCCGGCUAACUUCGUGCCAGCAGCCGCCGCCGUAA